rnacentral:rRNA from 1 species
GACCUCAAAUCAGGUAGGGCUACCCGCUGAACUUAAGCAUAUCAAUAAGCGGAGGAAAAGAAACUAACAAGGAUUCCCCUAGUAGCGGCGAGCGAACCGGGAUGAGCUCAAAUUUGUAAUCUGGCGUCCUCCGGGCGUCCGAGUUGUAAUCUAUAGAAGCGUUUUCCGUACCGGACCGUGUCCAAGUCCCUUGGAACAGGGUAUCAAAGAGGGUGACAAUCCCGUACUUGACACGACGACCGGUGCAUUGUGAUACGUUUUCUACGAGUCGAGUUGUUUGGGAAUGCAGCUCA